rnacentral:lncRNA from 1 species
AUUAAAGAAAUACUUCUGAAUAAGAGCAAAAGUCAGCAAAUUAAUUCGAACACUUAACGAUGAAUUACUAGUGAAGUUACCCACGCAUUGCGGCGGAAUGAUACUAUCGGAGAGGCAAAUUCCGAUCUUUACAUCACCUUCAUUGCUAGUGAAAAAAAAAAGUAUAAGAAAAUUUUAUUUUACUUAUUUGUUCUUUUAAAAGCAAUCGAGAGGUGGAAGUUAGGAAGAUGAAGCAUUGGAUAAAGAUGAAACUAUAUAAACACAUUAAUUGAGAGGUAGGGGUUCGAAAAAUGAAGCAUUGGGUGGAGAUGGAAUCAUGUAAACACAUUAAUUGAGAGAUGAGGGUUAGAAAGAUGAAGCAUUGAAGAUGAGACUAUAUAAAUAUAUUAAUUGAGAGGUGGAGGUUAGAAAGAUAAAAUAUUGGGUGGAGAUGGGAGUGGAAAGAGGGAAGCCAUCGGUGAAGGAGGAUUUGCCACGUGGCAAAAAUUUAGGAAAAAGAAUGUAUAGGUAUAGAAGAUGAGAUCUAUAUAAAUACAUUAAUUGAGAGGUGGAGGUUACAAAGAUAAAAUAUUGGGUGGAGAUGGUAGUGGAAAGAGGAAAGCCAACAGUAAAGGAGGAUUUGCCACGUGGUAAAAAUUUAGGAGAAAUAAUGUAUACUAGUGUAGUAACUCGCGCUUUGCGGCGGGUAGAUACUAAAAUAAAUUUAAUAUCUAACUAAUGUAUCAAAAAUUUGCUAUUAUUUAAAAAAUCAAAAUAGUCCAAACAUAUUGGCUUCUUG